rnacentral:misc_RNA from 1 species
AACCAUAGAAACCUGCGGAGUACCUGCGGAAGGAUCAUUAAAAAGAGUGUGUACCCCUCUGUAAAAUGAGUGGGUUACCUCCCGUCCUUUGUUGACCUCUUAGGAGGUUAUUUUGAACUUUCUGCUUCGGUGGGGUUAAACCUACCGGAACACCCUCAAAUUCUUAUCAUUUAAAAAUUGUUCAGUCUGAUUUUUGUUAAUAAAAACAAAAAACUUUCAGCAACGGAUCUCAGAUCGGAA